rnacentral:tRNA from 1 species
GCCUGAGUGGCUCAGUUGGUUGAGUGUCUGACUUCGGCUCAGGUCAUGAUCUCACAGUUCAUGGGUUCAAGCCCCACAUUGGGCU